GUGCUCGCUUCAGCAGCACACAAACUGAAAUUGGAACAAUAGCGAAGAUUAGCAUGACCACUGUACAACGCUGACACACAAAUUCGUGAAGCGUUCCAUAUUUUU
rnacentral:snRNA from 1 species